rnacentral:rRNA from 1 species
UACAGAGGGGGCAAGCGUUGUUCGGAAUUACUGGGCGUAAAGGGCGCGUAGGCGGCCUGUUAAGUCGAACGUGAAAUCCCCGGGCUCAACCCGGGAACUGCGUCCGAUACUGGCAGGCUUGAAUCCGGGAGAGGGAUGCGGAAUUCCAGGUGUAGCGGUGAAAUGCGUAGAUAUCGGGAGGAACACCAGUGGCGAAGGCGGCGCUCUGGGCCGGAACUGACGCUGAGGAGCGAAAGCGUGGGUAGCAAACAGG